UACAGAGGUCCCAAGCGUUGUUCGGAUUCAUUGGGCGUAAAGGGUGCGUAGGCGGCGCGGUAAGUCGGGUGUGAAAUCUCGGGGCUUAACUCCGAAACUGCAUUCGAUACUGCCGUGCUUGAGGACUGGAGAGGAGACUGGAAUUUACGGUGUAGCGGUGAAAUGCGUAGAUAUCGUAAGGAAGACCAGUGGCGAAGGCGAGUCCCUGGACAACUCCUGACACUGAGGCACGAAAGCUAGGGGAGCAAACAGG
rnacentral:rRNA from 1 species